rnacentral:siRNA from 1 species
AUGGUUUAAGACUCAUGAAUUCA